rnacentral:lncRNA from 1 species
GGUGGUAGCUCUUUCCUUCAUGUGGUUCCACUUUGAAGCUUCAGAACCUGAUUUUUUAUGCAUUUGGCUGCUAAAACUCUAAAAUUUUCGCUUAAACUCCAAGGUAUCAUUUGGUUCGGGUAUAAGCUAGAACCGUUUAUUCCAGGGAUAGGUAUAAAUGCUGGAACAAGCUGGAACUAUUGUGGUUUUGUAUUUGGAUGAGUAUUAGGUUUGUACCAGGUAUAAGAAAAAUAGUGUUUGGAUAUAUAAGAUAGAAUAAGGAGAAUAAAUGUCACGCCCCGGGGUCCCCCUUCUUUUUUUUUUUUUUUUUUUAAGGCAUAGCGGAAAAGCGUCUGAAAUUUUUUUUUGAAAACCUGACCCCAGGGUAUGCCAGAUCUGCCACAAAUACAGGAGGUCCACUGUUCACACGGACAGAGUCUCCCCUGUAUUUGCACGGCGUCGCACAAGUACAAGAGUUCAAACAUGAUACAACCACAACCAGAUGAACAUACAAAUAACCACAGUUAUAUAUUCAUACACCAUUCACCACAGAUUCAUAUUUUUUUCAUUCAAUAUUUAAACAUAAAUUCACAUCUAUCAGUUAAAAUAUUUCCAACUCAGAAACAGGUUUUGAAAUACUAAGAAGCAAAAUCCACAGAAAACCUUUUGAAAACUGUUUCCUACACGGGAACUUUUCUCUUUUAAAAACGCUACCACGAGGGGUAGAAAACCUUUUAUUUUCCAAAAUCCAGAAAUCCGUUUAUUACAUUCACGAAAAUUCAUAUUUUCAAAUGUAAUAAAAAUACUGAACCAUAUAACUAUCUAAGCUAUAACAACAGAAAUAAUAUGGGUAAAAGCUAAACUGAGUAAUCUGGGUCGGAAGCUCUAUCGACCGCUACGAACGUACCUCACGUCUCGUCCCAAAACUCAUCGCCCGCAAUACCUGAAAAAUGGUGGGGGAGGUGAGAACAUGUAAACAUGUCUCCCCUCCCAGUGGGUACCGCAAGCGGAAGAAGACGAGGAGUACUCACCGGAUCAGAAAGAGCUAUACAACAACACGGGUCAGUGGAAAUACAGUAGGAAAAAUAAUAAACAAAAGAGAUGUAUAAGAUAAUGAGCAGAUAUACUAAAUACAGUAGCAAUAAACUGAAAGAAAGUAAGAACCAGACUGAAUAACGGCUACCGCUACUGUAACUAGAACCGAAAGCAUACAUAAAUAUCUACUAUAGCAGCAAGACAACUAUAAAGUAAGAACUGUAAGUAUGCAUGCAACGACUGCUACUAUAGACAUAUGCGUCAAC